CUGCUGUUUUUGCUCUUCCUGCUCCGUAUUGCGCUACUGCCCCUUCUGGGGCUUGGCCCCGAAUUGCUGCUUGCAGCUAUAUUUUUAAAUGUGUGACUUUCUCUGAAUUUACAAAUCUUGGUAAUAUUAGGAUAUGUAUGCGCACAAUUUACAUAAAGUGUUCUAUAUAUUAUAAAAUAAAAUAAAAAAAAAUUAAAAAUAAAAAUAAAUAUCGGAGUGGUUUUAUCUUUCAUAUCAUCUCUAAAGCUGCAAAGUUAUUUAUCUGUACUUUGUUGGUUAACAUGAAUGACACAGACAGCAGCAAGCCUGCUGUAAGUUAAGAUCAAAUGCGUGGAAACCCUAUAAUGAUACACAUCAGUUCUUCUUCACGUUACCUAAGCCAUAUGCACUGUGUGUACAAGGACAUUUUGACAUAAAUCUGCAUGUAUGUGUCUAUCCAGGCAAAAAUAGAUGCAUAGGUAAAGCAAUUCAUCUUUAACGUGUGCGUACACAGAAUAGCGCGUAAACUGACAGGACCUAAACAUGUGCUCCUAUGCUAUCCUUGCGUCAUGACUUGUGGAUGCGCACAUUGCGUCAUAUCUAAAGUGAUAUAUUGUGCUGCCUACUACACAUCGAACAUCAGAGUUACUGUGCUCCGUAGGCUACUUCGCACCCGCCUGGUCAUAAGCUUUUUGUAACCCAUGUUGAAAUAUGACAUAAAUAAGAAUAAAUAGUUUAAAAGCUGAAAUUAAGUGAUUCAUUUAAUGUAAAUUAAUUCAUCAGGGUUAAUUAAAAAUGUUAAUACAACAAUUUAAUGUUUAAGAUUAAAAGUAUGCCGACAGAAAAUUCAUGUCACUGCCCCUUUAAGGGAUUAGUGACGUUAGAUGCAGCACUUAAGUGACGCUGCAGCAGAGACCUGAGGGAGAGAACGAGCUGUGUUUAAUAAGUAGAGAAAAGAGUGAAAAAGUUGAUUUUGCUGUUGAAAAACAUAACUUACCUGGUCAGGAACUGACAGGGAUUUUAUGAGAACUAAGCCACACCGGUUUUGGUCAGGUUUUUUUGCUUGGUUUGAGGCUCGGUCGGAGCGAGGAUUGGUCUUCGGUGUGCGGGUGUGCACAUGCACGGACGGGAUUCAGGAUGGCGAGCCAGACCCAGACUUUCAACUCAUCUUUUCCAUCGCAUCAGUGAGGAAAUCUCCUGCGUACGGUGACUCGCUGCCAGAGUGGUAGGAGUAUCAGGAAUUGUUUUUGAACUGAAUUGGAAACCGAUUGAAUUAUUAUUUUUGGACUGAAUCGAACUGAAACUACAUUGAACUGAAUAAUUGAACUCACAUUUGGACUUGAACUUGUGUUUAAGGUGUUAUACUUUUAUUUUCAUAUUGAGUUCAUAUGUUUGAACGUGAUUGGAAAUGCUUGUGGUCCACUUUGAUUUGGUUGUAAAUUGAAGGUAUUUUCUUACCUGUAAAAGAAAGAGAAAAGAGUUAACUCAGGAAGAAAAAUAGGAAUUCCAAAAUAGGUGCAACCUAGGAAAAGACCGGUCUAACUUAGAUUAGCCUGAUUAAAAUAACUUAGGUGAACUAGAGAACAAAAAGAAAGUGAAAUACCUUUUCAUUUAUUAUACUUACCUCGAUAUUACGAACCUGCAGGGUAUUUUUUUGGUUUUGUUUUGCAACUGUAUAUUCCAUGUGUGUUUUGCAUUCAGUAAAUUGCCGGCCUUUUGUAUUUA